UACGUAGGGGUCGAGCGUUGUCCGGAGUUACUGGGCGUAAAGGGCUCGUAGGCGGCCAACUAAGUCAGACGUGAAAUCCCCAGGCUCAACCUGGGAACUGCGUCUGAUACUGGAUGGCUUGAAUCCGGGAGAGGGAUGCAGAAUUCCAGGUGUAGCGGUGAAAUGCGUAGAUAUCUGGAGGAAUACCGGUGGCGAAGGCGGCAUCCUGGACCGGCAUUGACGCUGAGGAGCGAAAGCUAGGGGAGCAAACGGGG
rnacentral:rRNA from 1 species